UCCCAGUCAGAAGCCUGUGUCCUCCAGUCAAGAUCUGGAUCACAGCUGUGCCCUCCAUUUCUGGAUUGCUGCUCAUUCCAUUUGUAGUCAAGGUGACAACCGCCGGGAUAGCCUUCACACCAAGCAUGGUGACAUAGACUCACUGGCAUCUGUGUGGAGGCUCACCUGUAAUCCCAGAAGUUGGAGACAGGAGGACUGCUACGAGUUCAAGGCCAUCCUGGGUCGUAGAUAUCCCAUGGCUACCUGAGAUGUCAGUGUGAAAUGAAACUAUGCUACAGUCUCUCCUCCCUUCAAAUGUCCUCUCACAGAUGCCUCCCCUGUGGAGACACCAGGCAUGUCUUGGAUCCAUCUAGGACUCUCCCUGAACUGCUGAACUCCCAGCAUGCAGCAGUCCCAAGAGCAGAAUAAGACAAAAAAAAAUAGCUUUCCAAAUUAGGCUGUUGCACCCCGUGUAGCACCCUCGCUGAUCUGUGAAACUCAAAGUCCCCUUGCUGCUACGGAGACGCCUCCCCUCUAACCUCAGAGACCCCCCCUCUCUAGAGUCUAUGGGAGGAAUUGUUAUAGAAGGGCCAUUGCUGAUCUCCUACCCCAGCUUCCUCACUGCAGGGGCAUUGCUGUUACUAAAAGAUAUUUCACCUGAAAUCCACCCCAGCACAGCUCUCUACCCAACUUGAAAGGCAUCUGCAGUGUAUAAAACACGGUGAUCUGAGAGCCUAAGGUUAUUUCCAAAUAAAACUUAAGGUGCCCCUUAUUGAUAGAGCAUGCAUUUAGCAUUCAAAAGGCUCUAGGUCGGGGGUUGGGGAUUUAGCUCAGUGGUAGAGCGCUUGCCUAGCAAGUGCAAGGCCCUAGGUUCUGUCCUCAGCUCCGGAAAAAAGAAAAAAAAAAGGCUCUAGGUCCAAUCCUAUACACAGUAUACACAUGCAUGCACAUGCAUGCACGAACACAUGGGCACACACACAGAACUUUAAAUAUACAGUAUGUAUUUAUGAGAACCUGUUCUGGGAUGUUUGUAUUUGUAGGCAAUGAGAGAACUUUAAAAAUAAAGAGGAAAACAGGAAAA